rnacentral:rRNA from 1 species
GAUGAACGCUGGCGGCGUGCCUAAUACAUGCAAGUAGAACGCUGAAGGAAGGAGCUUGCUCUUUCCGGAUGAGUUGCGAACGGGUGAGUAACGCGUAGGUAACCUGCCUGGUAGCGGGGGAUAACUAUUGGAAACGAUAGCUAAUACCGCAUAACAGUAGAUGUUGCAUGAUAUCUACUUAAAAGGUGCAAUUGCACCACUACCAGAUGGACCUGCGUUGUAUUAGCUAGUUGGUGAGGUAACGGCUCACCAAGGCGACGAUACAUAGCCGACCUGAGAGGGUGAUCGGCCACACUGGGACUGAGACACGGCCCAGACUCCUACGGGAGGCAGCAGUAGGGAAUCUUCGGCAAUGGACGGAAGUCUGACCGAGCAACGCCGCGGGAGUGAAGAAGGUUUUCGGAUCGUAAAGCUCUGUUGUAAGAGAAGAACGAGUGUGAGAGUGGAAAGUUCACACUGUGACGGUAUCUUACCUGAAAGGGACGGCUAACUACGUG